AUUGAACGCUGGCGGCAUGCUUUACACAUGCAAGUCGAACGGCAGCGCGGGCUUCGGCCUUGCGGCGAGUGGCGAACGGGUGAGUAAUGCAUCGGAACGUGCCCAGUAGUGGGGGAUAGCCCGGCGAAAGCGGGAUUAAUACCGCAUACGACCUGAGGGUGAAAGCGGGGGACCGUGAGGCCUCGCGCUAUUGGAUCAGCCGAUGUCGGAUUAGCUAGUUGGUGGGGUAAAGGCCUACCAAGGCGACGAUCCGUAGCUGGUCUGAGAGGACGACCAGGCAGCCGGGGACUGAGACAGGGCCCAGACUCCUACGGGAGGCAGCAGUGGGGAAUUUUGGACGAUGGGGGAAAGCCUGAUACAGCCAUGCCGCGUGCGGGAAGAAGGACUUCGGGUUGUAAACCGAUUUUGUUUGGGAAGAAAUCCUGUGGGCUAAUACCGCGGGGGGAUGACGGUACCGGAAGAAUAAGCACCGGCUAACUACGUG
rnacentral:rRNA from 1 species